AACGCUGGCGGCGUGCCUAAUACAUGCAAGUCGAACGGCUUUUCUAUGGAAGCUUGCUUCCACUGAGAAGAUAGUGGCGAACGGGUGAGUAACACGUGGGUAACCUGCCCAUAAGAGGGGGAUAACAUCCGGAAACGGGUGCUAAUACCGCAUAGUUUUCUUGAUCGCAUGAUCGGGAAAGGAAAGACGGCCUUUGUGCUGUCGCUUAUGGAUGGACCCGCGGCGUAUUAGUUAGUUGGUGAGGUGACGGCUCACCAAGACGAUGAUACGUAGCCGACCUGAGAGGGUGAUCGGCCACAUUGGGACUGAGACACGGCCCAAACUCCUACGGGAGGCAGCAGUAGGGGAUCUUCCGCAAUGGACGAAAGUCUGACGGAGCAACGCCGCGUGAGUGAAGAAAAGGUUUUCGGAUCGUAAAACUCUGUUGUCAGAGAAGAACAAGUUGGAGAGUAACUGCUCCAGCCUUGACGGUAUCUGACCAGAAAGCCACGGCUAACUACGUGCCAGCCGCCGC
rnacentral:rRNA from 1 species